rnacentral:lncRNA from 1 species
AGAAGGUGGCGUUGAAAUGGUCGUAGAGGCCCGCAUCGAGCGCGUUCCAGGUGCGCGCGGCCCGCGCCAGCGCCUCGGGGAUGGUGGCCAGGCGCGACGAGGCAGCGCGCGCGUUGAGCUUGGCGUAGAGCACGUCGUCCAGGUCCCAGGCCAGUAGACGCCGCAGCAGCACGAGGGACUCGUCGAAGUACUCCGCGAUCAUGACGAGCGAGAAGACCUCCUCCACCUGGCGGAUGAGGCCCGCCAGGUAGGCUGCGUCGUCACGAGGGCUGCGCUCAUUGUCGCCUCCAAGGUCGUAGGCCAGCGUGUUGUGAGCAAACAUGGCGAAGUGCUCGCCUGGACGGUAGUAGGCCUCGGGUGCGCGCAGGAAAGUCUCGAGCGACGCAUUGGGCACGCGCCUGAAGGCCGGGCAGUACUGGUUGUAGUAGCUGAAAAGCGACUCGAACAUGGCCGCGGGUUCGCGCAGGAUGGUGACAUAGAUCGUGUCUGGAGGCAUGAGGCGCUCGAGUUCUGCACGGUCGAAGCGCAGAUGGCUGGCCAGCAUGUGCGGGGGCCUCGUAGCUGGGUGCACGAAGUGGGCCGAGAAGUUUCGCGGGUAACAGAACUGGUGCUCGCAGCUAGGGUGAGGCAGGGCCACCGUGAGGUUGUGGCGUUCUGCGAAGCGGAACAGGAUGUUCUGCACCGUAGUACCUGCUGUCUUGUGAGUCUUCAGGAAGGCCACGGCCAUGUGCUUGGCCCGAGGUGGCGAUUCUCGCAGAGGCGGGCAGCUCAGAGGGAACAACUUGGGGUACCUGCAAAGCCCAGGGUGUGUGAGAGGCGUAAAGGCAAGGAAGUGAGUCGGCCUGAUCUUUCCUCUCAUGAUUGGAGAGACCAGGUGCCAGGUAGCCUUUAAGAUGGGUUCUACAGGGGCAGGAAAGACUGCCUAUUUGUGAAGAACACUGGCUGCCCUUCUAGAGGACCCAGGUUCAUCUCCCCAGGCCCUAUGUGGCCACAGUUGUCUGUAACACCAAUCACAGAGGAUCCAAUGCCCUCUUCUGGCCUCAGAUGACACUGCAUGUAAUACCACCCAUACACAGACACAUAAGGGGCUGGGGUUGUGUAUGGCGUGGGAGGCAGAGCUACGUGGAUCAAGGUGAGUUCGAGAUCAGCCUGGUCUCCAGAAUGAGUUCCAGGCUAGCCAGAACCACACAAUGAAAUCCCGUUUAAAAGGGGUUGCGAGGUGGGGAGAUGACUCCUAGUAGCAGGUACACCCUCACAUAGUCUCUUCCCACUGAGCGGGACUAGACUGACUGAUGCACUCUAUGCUACAGAGUAAGGUAGAAAUGAUGCGGAAUGGUCUCUGAUUUUAUAGUGGGGAAAGGCCACUGGUUUCUCUCUCCAGGAUAAUGUGCAUUAGAAGGAGGCGGUCCCAAAGAAACUGAGCACCGAGUACUGUCAGCCUGCUUGAAGAGCUGGAGAGUGCGGAACUACCUGAACUUUCUCAGAUUGCUUUUAGUCAGUCCUUCAGAAAAGACUGUGUGUCUGGCAGACACCUUGACUGAAAACCUGCAAGAGACCUGGAGUCACGAGUUCUCGGCCGCAUUUGGAUUCAUGAUUUAUAGAAAUGGAAAGAGAAUAAAUGUUUGUUGUUUUCAGCAGCUAA